AAAGACAAGAGGUAUACUCACAUCCUUUCAAAGUUGCGUCGUCGAUGAAGGUCUGAUCGGUCUCAGUCGUCGACAGCUAGCUUAUAAGACCCUUCAUUUUUGUUUUAUUUCAAGGGAAGGAAGGAUCACGUGAAUGCAUCGUGGACAGCUUCUCCUUUCGCAGGAGCAGCAUGUGAAAUGCGAUACCUCUUGCCGACGCGCUCUUUUUUCUUCUUCUUUUGGUAUGAUAACACAACCGCGAAACACCCGUCUGGCUUUUUCCAAACGCUCUUUGGGAACACCAACCACACACACACAAAAAAGAAACCGUUAUCGCCCUCGCAAGAUGAAUUUUCGACUGGUGGUAUACGCUGUCUGCCACGUACGAGCUUCCAGCAGUGAGUGUGCCACGUAAGAGCCAAGUGAUGUGAGUAUUUCAAACCAUUUCUUGUGUUACAGUGUAUUUUAUAGCUAAAUGAAAUGCGGGCAUGUAUUUGUUUUAAAUUGUUUUUAUUGUUUCGCUCAGAUGAGACAGCAGAGACAUGGUAGCCGAUUUCGAAAGAGUGAUACCGUAACCGCUGUGCUUUCCAUUCCCAAUGAGUCUUGCAAUAUUGUACACAUUGCCGGGACAUCGUUCUAUUACUUGCCUGGGUUCGAAACUUAUUUCACAUAGCUUCGAGCACUCGAAGUUAUAAUAAUUGUGCGCGACAUUUGCUUCUUUCAAGCAAUGCCAUAGUUGACGUGUAUCAUUUUGCGACAGAUUUACUCCGUAUCUCGUCGGAUGACCAUUGCUGAGCCAAAGGCGUACGGCAGUUACUGCAGCUGGACAUCGGUGGACGUAGAUGUUAUGGUCAAUCUGAGUCACGGUAGUGCAUUUUCCCUGUUUCAGUGUUGGUUUUGUAAAUUCUGUUGUAGCUACGAAAACGAACAGGGAAACAGCACUCAGAAAGGACAAGGUGUAGCAGAACAUCUCCGGACAUCUAUUUACCAUGACGACCUACAGUAAAAUGAGACAACUCGUCAUGGAUUUCAAUAUUUAUUGGUAUGAGGAUGGCGACAUUUUCCUUGGAGUUGAUGAUCCUGGGUAACGUCCCGCAUGCCGCACACAUCAUCACCCGAUUGGGACCAGGAAUCGCCAGCGUUGGCUGGCUGUUCGACAUCGGACCAGUGAUCGCCAGUCAUUUCGUCGUCGGUGGUGGCAGGUAGUUCUCCGGAACCCAAGUCCUUCUACGACUUCCAGAAGGUUGCAACAGUCGGUCCAACGUGUCCGAAGGAUCAUCGUCGUCAUCAUUGCAUCAGUGUACAAGUAAGCAUCAUGUCUUCGUCGAUCUUGCAUAAACUUGACAAGUUAAAGAAAUGUGGAGAGUUUCAAAAAAUGGCGACAAUUCCUAAAAACAUCAAGUAUGAUGUGGUUGAUGUUAACAAAAUUGAAACGAGGUAUGGCGAGGCGGUCUACGUAGAAAUUAUGAAGGAUCACGAGCACGUAAAGGUGUUCCUUCCAGCUCGGUUUCAUAAACUAAGCACUCAAGACAUCGAAGACAUGAGGAACACGAGCGGGCUCUGGAUGGAGAAGAAAGAGCGAGUUGGAAAAGAGGGGAAACGUCUUCUUUCGCCAGACAUCGUGUUCGGUCAAUCCGAGUAAAAAAAUAAAAAGAAAUGGUGACAUGCCACCUUUGUCCUCCGGCCGAUCGGCAGCACUACACAACAGCGCUGGGACUUCAAGUUCAUCUGGCUAACGUUCAUAACCUUGCAACACCCUGUAUCCCAUUUUGUGAGACACUCUGUACGCUCCGCAACUAUACCAACCGCUAUGAGCUUCAUCUACAUGACAGAGACGACGACGGGCAGGAUGUCAGCACAUUCUUUCAUGAAAACGGACGCUACCUUGCCGGUGUACUUCGACAUUUCGGAUUUCCGUUACGCUUUUAUGUUUUGCUGAAGGCGGAACUCGGUCGACAUACGCCUGAGGAUGAGAUCAUAUUUGUCACUCAAUUUAUUCCUUCGAAUGUGCAUACGCUGUGGUCGGAACGAGACGUAGAACGUGCUGUCAUUGAAGUAGGCACUGAAGUCACCAACAAUUUAGAAAAGCUUGAAAUGCAAGGGUCGGGAUUUUUCUUAUUUCGAAUUCACGCCUGCAUUCUUCAUGUCGGUCGUCUCGCACCACAGCUCAUUGGUUGUACCGACUUUGAAUUGCCAAACGAAUUGAAAAAAAAGUGUCGGUGUCUUCUGAAUGUCGACCUUCACGAGGAUAGUGAACAGAACAUGUGUUUCGCAUUUUGCGUACUUGCCGGUCUACAUCCUGCAAAGGGUUCUUACAGACGCAGAGCUUCAUCCUACAGGUCAUAACUGUCUCAAUAUGUAUUUCCAGAGACGUUUCCUGUAGUGUUCCCGAAAGAUGUAGAAAUGUUUGAGAAGCAGAACGAUGUGAGCAUUAACGUGUACGGUUAUGACAAAGAUGAAAAAUAUGUUUACCCGAUUAAGGUUGUUGACGACCAGUGCAAGAAGCAUGUCGACCUACUGCUGAUUGACUUCCAUUUUGUACUCAUUACUAAUUUCAAUGCUUUGUUCACACCACCUGGUUAUUUUCACUGCAAACGGUGUACGAUGGGUUUCACCACCCCGGGUGUACUCGCCGAUCAUCUACUAAUGUGUAAACAACAAAAAGUGUCCAAGACUAUUUUUCCAAAGAAAGGUGAGACACUGUCGUUUGCCGGAGAGCAUUUGAUGUCGGAAGUUCCCUUCUACUGUGUAUACGACUUUGAGAGUGUACUAUCACCGUGUUCGGGAGGCGGGAAUGUCUACGAGGAACACAUCCCUUCAUCCUUCUGUCUCCUCGUCAUACGCUCGU